CUUUUGGGUGUGACUGCGUACCUUUUGUAUAAUGGGUCAGCGACUUAUAUUCUGUAGCAAGGUUAACCGAAUAGGGGAGCCGGAGGGAAACCGAGUCUUAAUUGGGCGUUAAGUUGCAGGGUAUAGACCCGAAACCCGGUGAUCUAGCCAUGGGCAGGUUGAAGGUUGGGUAACACUAACUGGAGGACCGAACCGACUAAUGUUGAAAAAUUAGCGGAUGACCUGUGGCUGGGGGUGAAAGGCCAAUCAAACCGGGAGAUAGCUGGUUCUCCCCGAAAGCUAUUUAGGUAGCGCCUCGUGAAUUCAUCUCCGGGGGUAGAGCACUGUUUCGGCUAGGGGGCCAUCCCGGCUUACCAACCCGAUGCAAACUGCGAAUACCGGAGAAUGUUAUCACGGGAGACACACGGCGGGUGCUAACGUCCGUCGUGAAGAGGGAAACAACCCAGACCGCCAGCUAAGGUCCCAAAGUCAUGGUUAAGUGGGAAACGAUGUGGGAAGGCCCAGACAGCCAGGAUGUUGGCUUAGAAGCAGCCAUCAUUUAAAGAAAGCGUAAUAGCUCACUGGUCGAGUCGGCCUGCGCGGAAGAUGUAACGGGGCUAAACCAUGCACCGAAGCUGCGGCAGCGACGUUUAUGCGUUGUUGGGUAGGGGAGCGUUCUGUAAGCCUGCGAAGGUGGCCUGUGAGGGUUGCUGGAGGUAUCAGAAGUGCGAAUGCUGACAUAAGUAACGAUAAAGCGGGUGAAAAGCCCGCUCGCCGGAAGACCAAGGGUUCCUGUCCAACGUUAAUCGGGGCAGGGUGAGUCGACCCCUAAGGCGAGGCCGAAAGGCGUAGUCGAUGGGAAACGGGUUAAUAUUCCCGUACUUGGUGUUACUGCGAAGGGGGGACGGAGAAGGCUAUGUUGGCCGGGCGACGGUUGUCCCGGUUUAAGCGUGUAGGUGUGUGUUCCAGGUAAAUCCGGUCCACUUUAACACUGAGGCGUGAUGACGAGGCACUACGGUGCUGAAGCAACAAAUGCCCUGCUUCCAGGAAAAGCCUCUAAGCAUCAGGUAACAUCAAAUCGUACCCCAAACCGACACAGGUGGUCAGGUAGAGAAUACCAAGGCGCUUGAGAGAACUCGGGUGAAGGAACUAGGCAAAAUGGUGCCGUAACUUCGGGAGAAGGCACGCUGACAC
rnacentral:rRNA from 1 species